rnacentral:rRNA from 1 species
GACGAACGCUGGCGGCGUGCUUAACACAUGCAAGUCGAACGGAAAGGCCCUGCUUUUGUGGGGUGCUCGAGUGGCGAACGGGUGAGUAACACGUGAGUAACCUGCCCUUGACUUUGGGAUAACUUCAGGAAACUGGGGCUAAUACCGGAUAGGAGCUCCUGCUGCAUGGUGGUGGUUGGAAAGUUUCGGCGGUUGGGGAUUGACUCGCGGGUUAUCAGCUUGUUUGUGGGGUAGUUGCUUACCAUGGCUUUGACGGGUAGCCGGCCUGUGAGGGUGACCGGCGACAAUGGGAGUGAGAUACGGAGCAGAAUGGUACGGGAGGCAGCAGUGGGGAAUAUUGCACAAUGGGCGGAAGCCUGAUGCAGAAAAGCCGCGUGCGGGAUGAAGGCCUUCGGGUUGUAAACAGAUUUCGACUGUGACGAAGAGUGAGUGACGGUAAUGGGUAAAGAAGCACCGGCUAACUACGUG